rnacentral:rRNA from 1 species
GAUGAACGCUGGCGGCGUGCUUAACACAUGCAAGUCGAACGAGUGGCAAACGGGUGAGUAACUCGUAGAUACCUGCCUUCAGUGGGGGAUAACCACGGGAAACUGUGGCUAAUACCGCAUGAGAGGGGUCUGCGCCCGAUUAGCUGGUUGGUGAGGUAAUGGCUCACCAAGGCUGUGAUCGGUAGCUGGUCUGAGAGGACGAUCAGCCACACGGGAACUGAGACACGGUCCCGACUCCUACGGGGGGCAGCAGUGAGGAAUAUUGGGCAAUGGACGCAAGUCUGACCCAGCAACGCCGCGUGGAGGACGAAGGCUUUCGGGUUGUAAACUCCUUUUAUGGGGGAGGAUGGUACCCCAGGAAUAAGUCACGGCUAACUACGUGCCAGCAGCCGCGGUAAUACGUAGGUGACGAGCGUUAUCCGGAAUUAUUGGGCGUAAAGCGCACGCAAGCGGUCGGACAAGUCUGACGUGAAAUCUCUUGGCUUAACUGGGAGCGGUCGUUGGAAACUGUCUGGCUUGAGGCGAUAGAGGGGUGCAGAAUUCCCGGUGUAGUGGUGGAAUGCGUAGAUAUCGGGGGGAAUACCUGUGGCGAAAGCGGCACCCUGGGUCGUACUGACGCUCAUGUGCGAAAGCGUGGGGAGCGAACGGGAUUAGAUACCCCGGUAGUCCACGCUGUAAACGAUGAACACUAGGUGUGGGUGCCAAAGCCAACGCGUUAAGUGU